CUCAAUGCGUGAGUAUGGAAAGGAUCUGAAUAUUUGAAUGAGAAGGCAAUCACGAGCUGAACUAGACUAUUAUCUUUGUUAUUAGGUAAUUUUCUGGAAUAUUGUGUCACCAUAAUUUCUACCAAAGCCAAGGAAAUUAGAGCUGAGGUCAGAAUCCUUAGACCAGCAUUUCCUCGAAUGAUUUAAGCCUGAGCAAUCACAAGUGGACAGCUUACAAAAGAAGACUACCGCAAGGGCAACCUGACAUUAUUUAAUGAAAGAAGAUAACUGGAUUUUCAUAUCUACAUCUGCAUUUAACCUAUUGCAAUGUGUUGUUUCAGCUGAAGAAUAUGAAGAAAUUCCAAAUGUAACAAGACUUUAUUACUAAGAAAUAGAGAAAGAAGGAAUCUUAUAAAUUCUAAGAUUUUAUGGGUUGUUAAUGAAACUCCUUCAGAGAAGCCAAACAAAGGAAAACGACACACACCACUGAAGGGCCUGACAUCUGUAAAAUGUGAUUUGGAGAACUUCACAGGUUUGGGAGAUUUGACCAUGGGAGCAGAAAGCAUCUUCAGGUUGCCCUCUCUCCUGGAAGUUUAGGAAGAAAGGGAUUAGUGGGGAUUGGCAGCUCAUCUCAAGUCCUUCUAGCACUCCAUCCCAUUAACCAAAGAAGAAAAAGGGCACUAAUUCUCAGACAUUUAAAGAACCCCCAAACAUGAUUUCUAGCAGGACAAUGUGCAGAAGAUAAAAUCCAAACCAUACAGUCUUUAUCAGCUUAACUAAGAUAAAUUGCAUUAAUGAAUGGCUUACUUCACCUUUUCUAGAAGC